CCCUUAGACGUUCUGGGCCGCACGCGCGCUACACUGACCAGUGCAACAAGCAUCCGUCCUUGGCCGACAGGCCCGGGCAAUCUUUGAACGCUGGUCGUGAUGGGGAUAGACUUUUGCAAUUUUUGGUCUUCAACGAGGAAUUCCUAGUAAACGCAAGUCAUCAACUUGCAUUGAUUACGUCCCUGCCCUUUGUACACACCGCCCGUCGCACCUACCGAUGGAAUGGUCCGGUGAAGCCUCCGGAUUGGCGCGCACCUCGGUGCCGCCGAGAAGUUGGCUAAACCUUACCAUUUAGAGGAAGGUGAAGUCGUAACA
rnacentral:rRNA from 1 species